rnacentral:rRNA from 1 species
GUGGGGAAUUUUGGACAAUGGGCGCAAGCCUGAUCCAGCAAUGCCGCGUGCAGGAAGAAGGCCUUCGGGUUGUAAACUGCUUUUGUACGGAACGAAACGGUCCUGGUUAAUACCUGGGGCUAAUGACGGUACCGUAAGAAUAAGCACCGGCUAACUACGUGCCAGCAGCCGCGGUAAUACGUAGGGUGCGAGCGUUAAUCGGAAUUACUGGGCGUAAAGCGUGCGCAGGCGGUGCUGUAAGACAGGCGUGAAAUCCCCGGGCUCAAACUGGGAAUUGCGCUUGUGACUGCAGUGCUGGAGUACGGCAGAGGGGGAUGGAAUUCCGCGUGUAGCAGUGAAAUGCGUAGAUAUGCGGAGGAACACCGAUGGCGAAGGCAGUCCCCUGGGCCUGUACUGACGCUCAUGCACGAAAGCGUGGGGAGCAAACAGGAUUAGAUACCCGGGUAGUCC